CCAUCGUUCUUAUUAUUAAUUUUUUUAAUCAAUUGUCGAUUCAAUGACUUUGCUCUCUUGGAGAAAUCUUAGAAAUGGAAAUCAUUCCCAAUUUCUGUUUUGGUUGCCGAUAAAACACUGGGAAGUAAAGACCAAGCGUGCUUUAAAAUUAAAAAAAAUUCAUUUUUUAAUCUGCUUUUGGUUGAUGUAUCCUAAAUAUGGAGAAAAAAAAUUAAUGAUAAAACACAAGGAAAAAAGAAGUGAAGAUUAAUCAGGUUUCGACAAAAUAGAAAUUGGGAAUAAUUAACCAGCAAGCAUACUGAUAAAGUGCCAUCUUCCCUUCUAUGUGUACUCUCUUUAUGGUUCAUGAAACUGUAGUGAAGUAUCUGAAAUUCAAUUUGGUUUAACGAUAUACCACUUUAAAUUUCUCUAUCUGAUUAAUAUCAUAGUUUGAGAUAUGCAAUAGAUUUCUUAGGUUCUGACUUCUGAUCUCUUUGCACGAUUUGAUUGUUAGUUAUAGUGUUAGAUAUGGAAUUGAUUUUUAGGUUCUGACUUCUGAUAGCAUUACAGUAUUACUAUAGGCAUCUAUAGUAUGGAAUUGAUAUCUUCUUGGUUGAAUUACUUGCUAUUUACUCAUGAGAUUUGAAGUGUUGUAUACUAAUGACUGAUUUGAUUGGAAGCUACAGAUUUUGAAAUGAGGUAUUUCUUCCUUAAAAAUGUUUAUCAAUUAUGUUGUUUGAUAAUUUAAAAAAAAUGAGUUUUCUAACCCUAAACCCUCUAAUAUCUGAGUAUAUUGUUGAAUCUUUUGGGUGUUUUGUUGAGAUUCAUUUUAGGGUAGAGCUUUUUGUAAUUUAACGAUAACUAUAGAAAUAUUACGGAGUACCAUUGUUUUAUUCUAUUUUGAGCUUAUAAGAGCUGCAUAUUUGACUUUUGGAAUGGGAAUUGAUUUGAAGAACAAAUUUUUUUCAGUUUCAAACCUUAUAAUCCUGUUUCUAUGUUUCCUGUUUGUAUUAUCUGUUACUGCUCCUUUAUCCUGUUUUAUGGAAUAUAUACAUCUACCUUGAUUUCCUCUUCCACCUUGAUGCAAAAUCGAGGUGACAGGGUGUUAAAAGGUUCUUAAGGGAAAGGCCAUCCAUGGUUGAAGAAGGGCAAUGGAUAUACCAUACACCCACCUAAAUGAGCAAAGGAAGAUUGAUGUAACAAUUAGCAGGGAGUUGCUAUAGGAUUCUAUGCAAUGAAGUGUUUCCACUACUUCAACAACAAAAUAAAUGAGGUGGGAACGAAGAUUGCUGCAUAAUUGAAAGAACAGAGGAAAUCUGAUUAUUCAGGAGCUGAAUAUGGUCAUUAAGUCUUCAUGCUCAACAAAAUCACCCCACUCUGUAAACCGGAAUUUGUAUGAAGCUAGGUUUCAAAUAUGUUAAUGAGAUAUGAGUACAUGCUGUUUUGUGUAGUAUCCUGGUAUUUGUAGGUAUUUUUAGUGGCGAUUUUAUAUGGUUAAUUUUACUUAAAAA